rnacentral:rRNA from 1 species
CCUACGGGAGGCAGCAGUGAGGAAUAUUGGUCAAUGGGCGCGAGCCUGAACCAGCCAAGUAGCGUGAAGGAUGACUGCCCUACGGGUUGUAAACUUCUUUUAUAAAGGAAUACAGUGAGGCUCGUGAGCCUUUUUGUAUGUACUUUAUGAAUUAGGAUCGGCUAACUCCGGUCCAGCAGCCGCGGUAAUACGGAGGAUCCGAGCGUUAUCCGGAUUUAUAGGGGUGAAAGGGAGCGUAGAUGGGUUUUUAAGUCAGUUGGGAAAGUUUGCGGCUCAACCGUAAAAUUGCAAUUGAUACUGGCAGCCUUGAGUACAGUUGAGGUAGGCGGAAUUCGUGGUGUAGCGGUGAAAUGCUUAGAUAUCACGAAGAACACCGAUUGCGAAGGCAGCCUACUAAACUGCCACUGACAUUGAUGCUCGAAAGUGUGGGUAGCAAACAGGAUUAGAUACCCCGGUAGUC